rnacentral:rRNA from 1 species
GUGCUUAACACAUGCAAGUCGAACGGAAAGGCCCUGCUUUUGUGGGGUGCUCGAGUGGCGAACGGGUGAGUAACACGUGAGUAACCUGCCCUUGACUUUGGGAUAACUUCAGGAAACUGGGGCUAAUACCGGAUAGGAGCUCCUGCUGCAUGGUGGGGGUUGGAAAGUUUCGGCGGUUGGGGAUGGACUCGCGGCUUAUCAGCUUGUUGGUGGGGUAGUGGCUUACCAAGGCUUUGACGGGUAGCCGGCCUGAGAGGGCGACCGGCCACAUUGGGACUGAGAUACGGCCCAGACUCCUACGGGAGGCAGCAGUGGGGAAUAUUGCACAAUGGGCGGAAGCCUGAUGCAGCAACGCCGCGUGCGGGAUGACGGCCUUCGGGUUGUAAACCGCUUUCGCCUGUGACGAAGCGUGAGUGACGGUAAUGGGUAAAGAAGCACCGGCUAACUACGUGCCAGCAGCCGCGGUGAUACGUAGGGUGCGAGCGUUGUCCGGAUUUAUUGGGCGUAAAGGGCUCGUAGGUGGUUGAUCGCGUCGGAAGUGUAAUCUUGGGGCUUAACCCUGAGCGUGCUUUCGAUACGGGUUGACUUGAGGAAGGUAGGGGAGAAUGGAAUUCCUGGUGGAGCGGUGGAAUGCGCAGAUAUCAGGAGGAACACCAGUGGCGAAGGCGGUUCUCUGGGCCUUUCCUGACGCUGAGGAGCGAAAGCGUGGGGAGCGAACAGGCUUAGAUACCCUGGUAGUCCACGCUGUAAACGGUGGGUACUAGGUGUGGGGUCCAUUCCACGGGUUCCGUGCCGUAGCUAACGCUUUAAGUACCCCGCCUGGGGAGUACGGCCGCAAGGCUAAAACUCAAAGGAAUUGACGGGGCCCCGCACAAGCGGUGGAGCAUGCGGAUUAAUUCGAUGCAACGCGUAGAACCUUACCUGGGUUUGACAUGGAUCGGGAGUGCUCAGAGAUGGGUGUGCCUCUUUUGGGGUCGGUUCACAGGUGGUGCAUGGCUGUCGUCAGCUCGUGUCGUGAGAUGUUGGGUUAAGUCCCGCAACGAGCGCAACCCUUGUUCACUGUUGCCAGCACGUUAUGGUGGGGACUCAGUGGAGACCGCCGGGGUCAACUCGGAGGAAGGUGGGGAUGACGUCAAGUCAUCAUGCCCCUUAUGUCCAGGGCUUCACGCAUGCUACAAUGGCUGGUACAGAGAGUGGCGAGCCUGUGAGGGUGAGCGAAUCUCGGAAAGCCGGUCUCAGUUCGGAUUGGGGUCUGCAACUCGACCUCAUGAAGUCGGAGUCGCUAGUAAUCGCAGAUCAGCAACGCUGCGGUGAAUACGUUCCCGGGGCUUGUACACACCGCCCGUCAAGUCAUGAAAGUUGGUAACACCCGAAGCCGGUGGCCUAACCGUUGUGGGGGAGCCGUCGAAGGUGGGACUGGUGAUUAGGACUAA